AUGUGCACUUUCAAUGACAUCAUUCGUAAGCACAAUUUAGUUGAACUGCCGCUCAAGGGUCGUCUCUACACGUGGAGCAAUAUGCAACAAGAUCCUUUACUUGAGCAACUUGAUUGGUUUUUCACCUCCCUCCACUGGACCUUGACAUAUCCCAACACGCUAGUCAAGCCUCUCUUCAAGCCGGUCUCGGAUCAUACACCCUGUGUGGUCAGCACUGAAACGAAAAUUCCUCGUGCCAAAUUAUUCAGAUUCGAAUCAUACUGGCUCCUUCACCCGGGAUUUAUGGAUGUGGUCAAAAAAGUCUGGGAUCGGCCUGUUAACUCUUCUAAUGCAGCCACAGUUCUGUGUCGAAAAUUCAAGAGGUUACGUCAUGAAUUAAAGGUGUCGAGCAAAAGCGAUGAUCAACAUCAUGAAACACAUGGGGUUUAA
rnacentral:rRNA from 1 species